GCGCUUAUGGACUUUUCUUCCCCGCUGCUGCUCAGCAGCCGGAAAUCAGAACAGCUUCUGCCCAUCAACUCCAACAUCCAAAGGCUAGAAAGGCUUGUUUUGGUUUUGUGGACUGUAUUCUAAGAAAUCUCUUUUCUUUUCCUUUUUAUUUCUUUAUUUCCCUUCUAUGGUACAAUGCAACAUCUUUUACAAUAUUUAUAUGCUCUGAGGUGUAGCUUGGUAAUGACGUGUUGUGAUGCUACAAUUAGUGAAUAAAUAGUUUGGUCUACCUGUGAAUGGAUGGUUUUGUUUGGUCAAGUAACAACUGGGUCUCCUUCAGUGACUUAGAUUUCUUUUCCGUUCUAAAGGUGAACAAAACCCUGACAAGACUGUGUGUGUUGGGUAAUUUAGUUCUCAGGGGAAAAGAUACAGUUUCUUUCCUGUUCUUGAAAAAAAAAGUUGAUCUAAAUUGGAGAUGUCAGCAUUCCUCUCCACCAAAACAGGUGAAUCUUGUGAAGGUUCUUGUGAAUAAAGGAAAGGACCUUUACUGAAGAUUGUCCCAGGCACACAUCAUCCUGCCUUGGGAGAUGGGAAGAGUGCAGCAGUGGGAAUUAGUUUUUUCAGAGAUGCUUUCUCUCAAAAUAAUUUUGACCUGUGGUGAAGCAAUACUUUUGUUCUCUGCACAUCGAUGGGCCACCAUAGGUGGAUGGAAAUUGGGAAUGGAUACAGAAAUCUGGUGCACGCUACUGGCUGGCUCCUGUGGUUCACAGCAGAAGUGGCUGCAUUUGUCUAGAAAAAAAACGAUCUGCUAGCUCAUACAAAAGUCAGACAUUAGUUGUCCCAAGCCUUCCUGGAAGACGCCUUUCAAAACCGAUUUGUUCCAUAUCCACUUUGAGUUGUGUAGAAGAAAAGCUAUACAGAGAGAGAGCUGAGCCUGGCGGAGCUGGCUGCUUGAGACGGAUUCUUUGCGGCACUGGGAUAAAUGAUUCUGUCACUCCCAGGAAACGGAGCCCUGGAUCUGAACUGUUGUCUUCAAAAGGACUUGGAUUUAUCUGUUUCCGGCAUGAGAAAGCUCAGCAGCAACUAAAGGAGAGGAGGAGAUACCAGAAAUAUCACAGACAAAUACUGCUGAAAUGUGUAAUUCUCACACACCAUGGCGAUGAACUUGCUGCGUGCACCAAUGGAGAACUAUGGCAAAGAGCUAAGAAAGGCACCCUGGACUUAAAUCCUACUGACUAAUAGUAAGCUGAAAUUACUGAAUAUUGCUGUGAUCUGAAGUGCAUGCUGCUGCUGGAAGUGAACGAAUACACGUAAAAUGUUUCUCAGUCUGCAGACAGAGCCUACUUCAUAAAUCAUGGGAAUUGUUUAAAUAUCCUGAGCAGAUGCCUACCGCGCUGCUGCUACUUGAAUGAUCUCCCUGCCAGCACACACUUGAAAAGAGAUUUCCAAAAGAAGUCAGCUUCCAAAAGCUCUCAGCAACAAUCAGUGGCCAGACUUGUGGUAGAAAACUGGAAAUUCGGGCUGUCUGUUUUGGACUGUAAAUGUGAUGCAAGCUUCUUGAGGAAAUCUGGCCCUUCUGUUCCAGGUAAGUACGAAUUAGCAUCUCUUUGAAACAUGGGUAUUGCCAGUGCUGAAUCUGGCAAGUGAGGCUGUGGUGAUCCCUAUCCUGCCAGCCAACCACAUAAAUACAGGGCAGACAAUUUGCCAGGCUGCCUGAGGCUCCAGGGAGGUACGGUGACCUGCCAAGUGGAUGAGUAGAGUGCUGCAGGCAGGGAAAUCAAAGAACAAGUUCAUCUCGGGCAUUUUUCUCACCCCCCCUGGGGUUCAAACAGUUGAGACCUGACUUUCUUUGUGCUAUCAGUAUAGAAUGAUAGAAUCAUUAAGGUUGGAAAAGACCACUAAGAUCAUCUAGUCCAACUGUUGACCCAUCCCCACCAUGCCCACUGACCAUGUCCCUCUGUGCCACAUCUCCAUGCUUCUUGAACACUGACUUGUGGAAUCAAACUCUAUAACCAUGAAGUAGUUAUAAAGCAGGUGUGUUUUAUUCAGCGCCACUUUCACCUCUUCAACAUCUCCAGGGACAGUGACUCCACCACCUCCCUGGGCAGCAUGUGCCAGUGCCUCACCAUUCUUUCUGAGAUGGGAUGUUUCCUAAUAUCCAAUCUGAACCUCCCCUGGUGCAGCUUAAGGCCAUUUCCUCUUGCCCUAUAUAUAUAUAAUGUAGCUGUAAGUGUUCACUUCUUCUGUAAGCCAGAGCUGGGCAUGCAGCAAACAUCACAACCUACCUGUCAAAAAACUGACUAAAAUGAGGUGUAAAGGUAAUCAGAAUCAGGCCUAUUACACGCAGUUAGUCAUAAAUAAUGCUGUCUCGGUAAUGGUUGCAAUUAGUUAUGAACUUCAAUCGUCUCAAACGUUUGCAUGUUGGCCAAUUAUGCUGUAGGAAUUAUCAAGUAACCCAUAGCACAUUAGCCUUUUGUAAUGCCAUUGUUUGGAGCUGCUCAGGUCACCAGAUCCUCGCCAGGAUGAAUUAGCAUAGCUCUCCAAGGUACAAUGGUGCGGCGCUGAUUUACAUCGGCUGAAAGCUGCCCCUUUGUCUGCUGGAGUUGUAGCGGGAGCAAGUUUAAAUCACAGCUUUGCAGUGGAGGAUCCUCCGACCCAGCCUCACAGAAACAAUGGUACGUGUGUUUUCUCUCUUUCUCUCGGCUGUGCAGAUGACUUAUUAGAUGCCAACGGUAAUGCCUAGGUCUGGUGGUAGCUCAACAAUAAGCUGAAAUCGUACUUUAAUGGUGCAAUUUGAAGCAAGGAAGGGGAACACAUAAUUAAUGAGCUCAUCUGACUUCUGCAGAAGAGAAGCCUAUCAGAUAAGGGAAUUACUUAAGCGUGCUGAUGAGCAGCUUAAAACUUCCUCAUGCUCUUGCUUAUUAAAAUGCCUUUUGUUUUCCUUUUGCGGGACCGCAGUGGUGUAUUGCAACUGCUGUUUCCUGACAGGACGUAUGUUUCCUUUGUAAUAACCUUGAUUCCUAAAAGGCAUUUCUGUGUCAGCUACAUGGUAGCCCAAUGGACUGAAGCUUCUGGACCAGGCCCACAGAUGCUCUGUGUUAUUCCGAGCCCUUGUAACACUCUUUCUGAUGAACCCCCAACUCCGUGUUUGUUUAUCACGGUGAGCCGCCUGACUACCUGUCUCCCUGAUUAAUAAAACAAGUUUGCAGUAUCAUGACUUUUGCCUUGGCAUGGAUUCUGAGAUGCAGUUUCUAGAUGUUGUGGCUGGUUCUGGGCUAUGUGGCUUCAAAGAGAAUUAUUUCAAAGAAAAAUCCUUGGUGAAAUUAGUUGCAGUUUUAAAACAGAAUAUUUUGUCAAAAUCAAAUUUAUUUCAAUGAGAGGCAAUCACUCUAAUGGCUGAGAAGAAUGCAAAGAUUAAAUGAGGUAUGAAUAGCUGUAAGAUGGUACAAUUACCACCUCAGAAACAAUAUAUUUGUAGAGUUAAUUCCUCUUGAACAUGAACAAUCUCCUUACACUUGACCCCUCUCUAUUGCCUCUUCCAUGCUUGAACUCUCCUUGAACUUUGAAGAUCCAUCUUGAGAGUAUGAUAUGGCCAUCUCUUUUGCAUCUGGUUAUUUUAGCUCCAAUUUGCAGCCCUAAAACGGCAAUUAUGGUGAUAUAUUGCUCAAGUCACCCGACAUGGAUUAGUAUCGGGAUCAGCGCGUUUAUGCACAGGAGUGGUGAAUGGAGACUACAGCUAUGAUUUUAAAUGACUUGAUUAAUUUCAAAACAACACUUCAGAGUCCAUUACAUCCAGCAGGUGUUGGGGUUCAGACUGCACCUUCUUUUAAGCAGGGCAAGUGUGUCAUAUUUGUGUCAUAUUUAUUGCUUUUUUUUCUCUUUAACAUUUGUUUACUUUUUCCUCCCCUCCAUCCCUUCUUUCUGUAAAUGUCUGUGGCCUUGCAGGCAAUGUGGAUGAUAUUCCCUUUUCAUAAACCAGAGGGCAGGAUUCAGAUAUCCAAAUUGUAAUAUGUUCCUUUACAAAGUUUGCUGGGGACACAGCAUACCCAAUAUCAGUGUGAAGACCGUGACUGGGUGAACAGCAAGGAUGUUUUGUUGGUUCAGGGUCAAUUAAAUAAUGCCAAGCCUGCAUAAAACAUCUGUUUUAAUGAUCUUAGAGUGCUAUUUGAGACUGUGAAUGUCAGCAUCUAUUCGUGAUCUUCUCUGACUUUAUGCCAGGCAGAGGCAGGUAUUGCUGCGAAGCCUGCUGGAUGCCAAGAGCAGACUCUUCAUUGCCUCACCCCUUGUCCUGGGGUCAGUACUGUAGAGUGGGAGAAAAGGACAGAAAACAGAGAAAGCAUCUGAACUUGAGGAAUGAUUGGAUUUGGAUAAAGCAGGGAGAGUCAUGAUGAAAGCUCUUCCAAACAUUGCUGAUUGUAGGGGCAGCCUUUUGUGAUGAUCAGAUGUCAUGUGCCUUUAUUUUGUGCCUUUAUUUAAGUCUUUGUGGCCCAGUCCGGCUGCUCUCUGUGCCUCAUUUCAGCUAGAAUUCUCGUUCCAGGCAGCCACUACACACAGAAAAUAAGGCCCUAUUCUGUGAAGUGCCACUGAAAUGACUGCUUGAUGGCUGAGGUACUCCUUCUCAUGAAUAAGGGGACAAAAGUUUGGGGCUAAUGAGAAGCACAGGGUUGGAGUGUUUGUUUUGAAGACAGUAGCGCAUUCUGCAGGCGAUGGUAUGGAGGCAAGGGAAACUUUGACUGGGGUCAGGAGUUUCCCAAAGGAAGCAGCUUCUGUUUGCACUGAAAGUGUAACUCGUCUUAGCAGGGCUGACACUACAUCAGUCUGCUCUGAAGUCUACUGAACUGGAGGGAGCCCAUCCAUGCACAUGGAAGAUGCCUUCAUAGGGCAAGCACCAUGCACAGCUGAAACACAGAUGAAUGUCUUCUUGGAGCAUACACGGAAAUGGAUACAGAACCUCUCCAAAGGCUCAGUUUGAAAGCAGUGCCCGGAGCUGACCAUACGCUGAGUGAGCAUUUGGGAUGAUUCAGACACUGCACUGUAGGAACGGUACUGGUUGUGGGGCAGAUGAGAAUAACUCAUAAAUGGGCACCAGAGUUCAAACCUCUGUGAAAGAGUUGUCAGAAAAAAGUGUGGUGUAAUUAGGAAAUGCAGGUGAUUAUUUCUUGUGGUGGUGAUGAUUUGAGAUGCCAUUCCUGAAGGGAAAACAAGCAGUGGAAGGCUUGUUUUUCCCUUGAUGCUUCAUCACCUAGGUUGUUCCUCUGUGGAAGUGGUGUAUUUCCUAAGAAAAGUUCCUUUAUGGUGAGAAAGAAAGUGGCUUUAAAAAACUCUUCCAGCAAAGCGCACUUGAACUAACAUGCUGCUGAAAAGCAACGCUUGGAUAUCUAAUUAUAUUCCUUACUCUACAAAAUCUUCCUACACAUGAUACAAAAGGCACCACUGGCAGCUGAGUAUUUUUGUCUGCCUCAGAACUUAAUUUCUAUGCUAUUUUUAAAGUCUACAUCUGCAAUGCAUCUUCAAACUGUGUAAAGACUCUCUGGUCUAAGGGAUAUUUCUAGCUAAAUACAAUUUUUUUUAACCUGGCUUCAUUUCUUGAAUGGCAAGGAUGGAAAAGGAAAGUGACACAUUACGUUUAAGAGCAUGCCUUGUUUCCAAAGACCUUUUUGAUAUUAAAAAGAAAAAAAAUAAAAACAUAAUAGCGCCUUGCUGGCCAUCCUACCUGGUGCCUUGUUUGGUAAGGAUCCCUAAAUAUUUGCAGAUGUUGUUUGAACCUUUUCUUUAGGUGAAGGUCAUGCUUUUGCUCUAGAACAAUGUAUAUAUCUAUUUUAAAACCAAGAUGGACUUUGAGUGAGAAUUGAAAUCCAGAUGUGCCCAAACACAAAAGGCUUGGCUGGCCUGUUAGUCAUGCGAUAAUAUUCACACAUUUCAAACAACUUCACCAUUUACUAUCUCAAAUUGCUCUCCUUUUUGGUUGGGCUAACCUCUGUUUUGAAUAUUCUCCUUUGUCCAUGGGUCAGCAGUGCUGUUCCUGUGGGGAAAGCACUGGACUAAGAUCCAGGUUGCAUCUUUUGGUGUUAGAUGUUAGAAGGGGGAGAAAAAAAUAGAUAGUUUUUGUCCUGAAGCCAGUACUGUGCACCUGUCCAAAUUUCUUCUGUUUUUAAAAUAACUCUUCUCCUGUGUAUUUUUUUUCUUGUCUAAAAGGCACUGAAUCAUGUCAAAGCCUUGGCGUGCCUCAGCAUCUUUCUGAUUCCUCCCAGAGCUCACGCUGAUGUUUUCUGGGGGAGGGGUGGCAGACCUGAAUCCUAAUCUGUGCCUUUAGGGGUGCUUGGCAGCCCCCAGGAGCAGCUCAACAAACUGCAGCCAUGGUGUUUCCCACCUGUGGCACUGCAGAGCUGCCUGAAGGGCUUGGGAAACCAUUCCUUUUGAAGCUGUUCCUGACCUCAGGCGUGUUUCUGUGCAGGCGAUGCACAGCCUGCUCUCCUCCCACCCUCGUUAAGCAAUGAGACUGCACGCAGGCACAGUCCAACUGCAGCCACUCCAUGCAAUACCCAAGUCAUCACAUUAUUUGUAUUCCGAAUCCCAUUCCUCAGCACUGUCAAUUUUUUCCCUUGCAGAGAAGCGAAAAGACAGUUAAAGGGACUUUUGGUGACAUCCCCCCUGUUUAAUGAAGCUUGGAGUUAUGGGCAAGUGCCUCGAAGUGCCGUUAUUAUCUGCAUGAGCGACUGAAGGCCGAGGGUCUGGCAGUGUGCAAAGAGCUCCGCUGCAAAUGUGCACAUUGAUCACUGCUAAUCAGCCCAUCCGGGUCAGGGGUGCUGCCGAGACAGAGAGCUCUGCAAAAGCUGACAAAUGGAGCAGCGGAGCUUGGGGGUUAAUGUAAUAUUCAAACAGAAUGAGAUGCUGAGUAAUUGCGUGGGUCUGCCUAGCGUGACUGCAGCUUUUGACCAGGAGAUUUCAUAGGGAAGGCAGGAGGAAACCUCUGACACUACAGGAGAUGUACACAUCUUGUUUUCUGUCUGUUCUUUGUUUCAUGCUGAAGUUGGAAGCGGAAGGUGAGAGGAGGAGGAGGAAAGGAAGUAUAUUGCUACCUGUCCUUGUACUUUUGGAAUGCAUUACAGCUCCAGUUGAAAAAGAAUGAAAACAACCUAUUGAUUUCUAGUAACACCAGAUCUGAUAGAAACAUGUAAUAGCAACUGCAACAAUACAUUGAAAAGUGCUAAUUUCUCUUUGUUUUUUCCUGUGUAAAGCCAAAAGCACAAAAGAUGGAAGGAAAACUUGUGGGUUGGGUCAGUGGGCUAGGACUCAGCUCUAAUUUCCCACUGAGGUGGUAUAACACCCUGAGGUAAACAGCUGAUCUUUCUCCUCCUUUGUUUAUCAGAUGCUUUCAAGUGUUCCUAUUUCUUCUGUCUCUUUUGACUGUCAGUUCUUUAAGGCUGGCAUAAUUUCUUAACGUUCCUUUUAAAGAAGGGCUUCCUUUUAGCAAACACCUGUCCUGCAGUACAAAGAAAUAAAAAUUGUGAAUGCCUACAACCGGAAUUCUUUAAUCUUCCUUUUACCAGUACUGCAGCCUGCUGGUUGCCUGCGAUGCUGAGAAGCCAGCAACGUUUCUCUAAGACAAGCUCUGUCUCCUCAUCAAGCUUCUGUCUCAGAGAUUCAUGUGCAACAUUUCAGUUUACUCAGCCUUUAAUCAGAUGCCUGACCUAUUGUGAGUAGCGUGCAGCUUAUGACCUCUUCCCAAUAAACAAGUUUUAAACAAGCUGCCACAUCAGAUUUUUUUUGCAGAAAAUAAAUGUGAGACAGAAAAGAGAGCUCAUCAUUCCAAACAGCGCUCCUUUUGCUAGGCCACUCUCUUCUUCCCUGCAAGAAUUAAUUUACAGCUGUGGAAAAGCAUGACUGUCCCACUGAAAAGAAAUGCUAGAAUUUGCUUGAGCAUGGAGAGAUCUGCUGUUUUAUGGGAAUUUAAGUAUACUUAAUAAGACAAAGUUCGUAAUGAAUUAUCCUGAAAUCAGUGCUGUCUGAGGCACUUUGUCUGCUAGAGUUAUAUGUGAUGUCAGGGUGAAUGCAAGCACCUUGCUCAUCUGGAUCACUAUCCUUUGAGAAUCUGAUGUUUCGGAACUCAUUAGUCAUUGUGGCAGACAAAGAGGGUGUUUAGAGAAUGCCAUGAGUUGUUGCCAGGUCUGUGGGCCCUAAUUCUCAAAAACACAUUGCGCAUAACUUGUGUUUGGGAUCGCAGUAACUUUGAGCUGUGUCUUGAUGUUGAAAUAAUUUUAUUUGCUUUCUUCCCCCUCCUUUUCUUUCUUUUUUAAAUCUAAAUAAGUGGUAGGAAUGGAAAGUGGUAGUGAAGAAAAUGGUAUUUUUUUGUGUGACUACUGUCAUCUUGACUAAACUACUGUCAUCUUUGGAAUGCUUCUUGAGAGCUUCAGCAGCAGAUGAUGAAGUUCAGAUGGGGAAGUGAGUGGAUUGCCCUCACCAUGCAGAGGAUCACUCUAAUGUCUCUCUGGAUUGUAAAAUGUUCCGGGAUGAUUUGAUAGUAGCUGAACUCAACCCUUUCCUCUGGCUCCUUCUGCAAUGAUAAGGAAGUCAAAAUAAUGGGAGACUGGAUUCCAGUGAGUAUGGUUGGCCUUCCUUCUUAACGAUAGGAGGAAGCUAUUGAGAUUUGGGUAUGUGUUCUAACUUCUGAUGAGUAAGUUGUAGAAUGGGCUGAAAGAGAUGGUAGGAACUGUAUAUUUUCCUCUUGGAGGAGGAAAUUGGUCAGGGGCAGAAAAUAUGAUCUUGGGCCAAAUUACCAACUAAGUGGACUGUGGUGGAGAGUUUAAAAAAGAGGAGAUAAUUGCUCAACUCACCUAGUUGUUUUCCCCUCAUUCCCACUGGAUGGCCAAUUGUGUUACAUCCACAAACCUAUUUCUGUCUUGCUAUCUGGGAAGCUCUUAAUGACAUGCACGCAUCUCAAUCUGCCAAAGUCCUGAUGAAGAAAGCUAGAAACAGAUCUUAUGAUGCAGGCAGGAAACUUUCAAACAAUACCCUGCUGGGUCAUAAAUAAUUUUUUCCAUCACUUGAAUUUCAUAAUUUUUCAUUCCCGGUAGAAAUAGUAUUCAACAGUAAAAGCAAGGGACAGCGCAUCUGUUAGAAGGUCAAGAACUAUAAUGAGCAACGUGGCUUGAAACUAUGUUCAAGACAGAAGAGCAGUAUAUAGUCAUGUUUUCUUGUUCAGUUUCCAUACUACUUUUCUUUUUUUCUUUUAAAUGGCUUGGCACUGGUUUAACCUUCAUAUGAAAUUGAUUAUUGUCUUAUUUACAUUAAUUUUGAAUGCUUGAUCAGAAAUCUGAUCUCUCUGUAGUUUAUAUUGUUGCUUCCCAGUAAAGCAAUUAAACCCCAGCUGCUAUGCAGGAGAGAGUGUCUAUGAGUCAGAUCCUCUCUCCAAGGAUUGCUCUUUUAUAGAUUGCUCGUGUCCUCUUUGCCUGCAAAAAUUUCAGUUACACUGAAGAAGACAAUAAAUGUCUGAUAUUUUGCUUGGGGCUGGAAAAAUCUGACUAUCCUUAAAAUGGUUCUGGGAAAUGGUUCUAAGGAAAGCAGUAUCUCUCAACCUGCUAUUCUUAUCUGUACAGAAUCAAAUACUUGGUUGUCUCAUAUUGCAUUAUUCAAAACCUCUCAGAGAACUUACGGGUGUUUUUUUUCUUUAGAACUACCUUUUCUUAGUUUUUAGUUUAGGAAUAUUGUGAUUUAGUGAAAGGGAAUGGAUUCUGCCUUCCUUCUGUGUAGCUUUGCACUGUCUUGUACUCCCUGCAAUCAGAUCACUCUCCUGUCAGUGGACUGUCUUCUUCAGGUGCUCUAGGACAUGUUUGGUCCCCGUUUGCUCUUGUCCUUACUCUUGGAAGCAAAGUACGAAGACUCUCUACAGGAACUGCAAAUCAAUGAGAGAUGUAAAGUUCAAGCUGGAGAGAAAAAGGUCUUAAUGCUGAGAACAGUUAUUUCCUUGCAGAUAAACACAGAGCUCCUCCGAAGGCACUAGAGCCAAGCACAGGAGAAACUGAUAGGCGCAAGUAAGGUUUGUUGAAUGGUGAGAUGUGCUGUUGACAAACUGGUGACAGGGAGCCUGUAUGCUGCUACGUACAGACCUCUUCACGAUGCCCUCUGAUUUUUGCAAUCGGAUGGAGAAAAAGAUGAAGUGUCUGGUCAAAUCCUGUUUGUUUAAAAAGUAAAAAUCAAUCUGUACGAAAAGAAAAAAACAACAAUUUCCACAGUAGAAGAUUCCCCCCCAGAAUUCUGUAUUGAAUAUCUUUUUUUCCUCCCAGAUAAUUCCUGCCCCACUGGAAAGAGUUAGGAACUGCUCCUUAGCAGUGAAGGUCAUCUUUGUGUCUAGCUGCCAACUAGAAGGACUGAGGGAUGUAGCAACCCAUGAGGCUGCUCUGUAUUUCUUACAUCUCCUGCUUGGAACUGUAUGUUGUUUUGCAGAGUGAGGCUUUCCUGGAGGCCGUUCCAACUGUUGUACUGAUGACAAACAGCAGUCUCUUUUUCUAACAGAUGUAAUGGUAAACACCGCCAGGAAAACAGGCUCCUGAUGUUUAUUGUGGAGUAAUACAUGCUGAGCAGGGGUGCCUCAGUGACAGCCCUGUAUUUCUGUUUCAGGAUUUUUUUUUGUGGAAGGGGUACUUCAGUGAAUCCGUUUAGUUGCAUCCUGAUUUUUGUCUUCCAAGAAAACACACCAUCAGAGAAAGCUAAAGUAAGAUCAGCAAGGAACAUGGCUCCUACUCAAGCUGUGAGUGAAUGUGUGAGCUGCGUGUUAUACUGGUUCUUUGUUGACCACGGGGGAGGAGGUGCUGAGGAUUGUGAAAGCUCAGCUAAGAAUCUUGUACGAUGAACAUCAUGCCAAUGGAAACAAAUUUUAGGUAUGCUUAGGACCAAACACUGCUCAAAAGGCAAUAGCAGUUCUGCUGCUCAGUUCAGUGCUUCUCUAGGCUUUAAGCAUCUUAAUUUCAUAAAACAAGUGCUUAGCUCCACAAACACCUCCUCACCUAAGCAGUGUCUUGACAUGAUUCAGUCUAAGUUGUGAGAACCACAGGACAUAAAUAUUUUAAUGAUUUUCUAAAAACUGCUCUGACUAUCUGUUUAAUAGUGUUGUUAAAGAACAAAGCUGCUGUUCAUGUUAAAUACUGCUCCACGUAAAAUUGACAUCCUGAUUAUUGUUUUCUCAAGUAUGAAAGCAUGAGACUAGAGGCAUUUGAAUGCUUUUACUGCACAGAUGAAACUGCAUCAUAUUAUAUUACUGUUCAAGUUUGGAUCCCAACCCUCCUGUUUUAAUAGAUGGAAUUCAUGAUCCUACUUCUGUCACUCUAGAAAGAUCCUAGGUAAUUUUCAGUGGGAAAAAAACAGCAAUAUCCUACUGAAAUUUAACUUAUCUGCAAACUUCUUACUUUAGGACUUAUUAUAAAGAAUGAAGAGCUUACAGGAAUUUAAAAAAGAAACCAUCCUCUCCCAUCAGAUAGUGGUUAAUUUUUUAAUGAAGUUUAAAUAAUGUUGUUAAGUAUUUUGAAUGAAUUUCCCUAUGGUCUGUUAAAUGCUGAAUAACAUUUCCACAAGUGUGUUUUUUUGUUUGUUUAUUUAUUCUAAAAAAAUACCAUAUCCUUGAACAGGAUAGAAUAUUUGUUAGAUAGAAGUGGUGAGUUCACAUACCUGCUGUGCCAGUGGGUUUGCAGCAGUCUUCUGUUUGUGACAGUGUACAACACUCUCGUGCCAGUGAAGGAUAGCCUGUAUGCAGUCGCCCAGGAUUAUCACAGAGAAAACAGCUGAUGGUAGGGAUAAAUACCAAAAAAACCUGAGACAGUCUGACAGAAGUAGGGAACUGCAGGGAGUGGGCUCUGGAGCUUAAAAACACAACUGCAUACCUCUUUUGUUAAUUUGCAAACAUGGUGUCAGAACUAGAAAUCUCUUGCGACAUUCCUCUUAACUCCCCGACACAGCACCCAGUGUUUCCUUACUCGUCUCUUCCCCUUGGUUCCUCUAGUCAGCCCUCUGCUACACACACACGUCUGUCUCCGCAUUUUCCAUCAAACCUGGAAAUGCCUCCUGCCUGCCAGAAAGACAAGAUGGCUCAGCUGCCCUGCAGUCAAUCCGACAGCUUGGCUUGCAUGGCGAAGCCUGGCCAGCCGAGUCACAUUUUGACCUCCUUCAUCUGCUCCUCCAAAAAGUUUUGGAGCCACACAAACUCCUGAUAGUGUUCUGCUCCAGUGUGCCAGAGCCCCCCAAACAGCUCUGGCAGAUCCAGGCUGGGCCGAGGGGCUGUGGUCAUAUUUUGUUUUGGAAGUGGUUACUACAUUUCUCUCUCAUUACAUCUUUCCUCCUCCCACCUGAAUCACUUUUGGCUGAGGCUCCUAGCUAAGCCUGGUCCUAACCUUGGCGCAGCCUUAGGCUCGCUCUUUGGGGACAGCCAGAUGCUACGUGAAAUGCAGUCCUCUACAAUGGAGUGAUGGCUUUGGUGAACAAAGGAAGGGCAACUGAUAUCAUCUACCUGGACUUGUGCAAGGCCUUUGAUAUGAUCCCGCACCACAUCCUUAUCUCUAAAUGGAAGAAAUAUGGAUUUGAAGGCUGGACUAAUUGGUCGAUAAGGAGUUGGUUAGAUGGCAGCAGCCAGAAUGUUGUUGUCAACAGCUCAAUGUCCAAGUGGAGGCCGGAGGAUGUCCAGGGGAGCGAUGUCCCCCAGGGGUCUGGGGGGGACUGGUACUCUUAACAUCUUUAUCAACAACAUAGAUGAUGGGAUUGAGCACACCCCCAGCAAGUUUGCAGACAACAGCAACUUGAGUGGUGCAGCUGAUACAACAGAAGGAAGGGAUGCCAUGUGGAGGGACCUGGACAAGCUUGAGGAGUGAGCCCACAUGAACUGAAUGAGGUUCAACAAAGCCAAGUGCUUUUGUGAUUUAUUUUGGUGAGAGUGCAUUCUGCAUGUCCUUUAAUCAGCAUUUUCUUCCUUAAAGCACAAGGCAAUACGUUGUGCGUAUUGUUUCUGCUUCCUUAUGGAAAGAAGCCUUGCUGGCUCCUGGUGGUUUUUGCUCACACUCCUGUAAGGAGGAGAGUGAGGGCAGCAUGUGUGAGAGAUUUAUGUUUUGUGCUUAGUGCAAAGUAGGUUAGCUCUGUCUGAUGGUGUGUAGUGUCUUUAAUCAUACAAAGAGGCCUGAAGCCCCUCUAUUUUGUGCUGUAGUAGCUUUUCAUUUUAUUGCCACUUGUCUUUUGUGCUUUGCGGUAAGUGGGGAAGAUACAUGUAAAAGAACUUCACCCUCUAAGCUUGCUCUUCAUGUCUUUAGUUUUCAUGGGGACUUUUCUCUCAUUGUUAUUUUUCAGUGCUCAAGUGGUUUCUCUGUAGUUCAUAAAUCCUAAAUUAACUCUGUGUGUGAGUCUUGAUGUGAAAACAUAUAUGAAAUCCUUACUGCAGUGGUCCCUGAAGAAACCAACACUUAUUUAUGGCUUUUUACAUUGGUGGAUGUAAAAGCUGUUGAGAGCGUUAUUAUUUAUCUGUUGUGUCCAUGCCCCUUUUCUAGUUGCUCAGUUGGCACUUUAAUUCAUCCAUUUAACGGAGGUCAGGUGGCAAAGUAUGUGUGCAGAAUGGACAUUCCUUUUGAGGCAAUGUUUUGUUUUAAAUACUAUCCACUGCUGCAGUACACUCUGGGAUCUCUGGUCAGGAUGUUGGAGAUGACCUCAGCACUGCUCCAGCAGGUAAGGAGAGCUCAUCCAUGUAAAACGACUUCAAUUAAUCGUUAAUUACAUGAGGUGGUACUCCUGUGAGAGCAAGCUAUCCCAAGUCAUUUACAGCUACCCGUGCUUUAUUGUACUACAACAGAAGAAAGAAGAGCACUGAGAGUGCUGCCUUGGGAUCUGCUGCCCCAAGUGAACAGAACAGGUGGGAAUUUUAGAGUCCAAGGAGCUCUUAAGCUAAAGAAUGAGAAGCAGUUUACAUAUGCUUUUAAAAGAGUAGGAAUGUUUCUUUUCAUUUCCAUCCUUGUAUCUUCAAGUGAGAAACAUUUUGGGGUGAGUUGAGGUUCAGAUUUUGUGAUGGAGCAGAUUAUUGUUCAGGGAAAUGAAGCUGGGGGAAAGAGAAGACAGUAGCACAUUUUUGUGCUGAGGUUGGAAGAAGGGAAAUAAUUAUGACUCUGCAAGUGUCAGUCAUUCUGUCUCUCUUUGUUUUGACACAUUCAAUUCUAGAGACUGGUGGUGAAGAAGAUGAGAGCAUUAGGGAGAUUUGAAGUAGAAAUUUUAAUGGGGAGAAGCAAGGGGAGAAAAAAAGCUGUUGAAGACGAUUUCUGGCAGGCAGUCCAGUUCCUGGUGCAGACAGAUUGGCUGAUGUUGAUUGUUGACAGCUUCUCCAGCUUGCUAAUUACAACUGUAAAAUAUUCAGGUGAAUGACAGUAACUUGAAAUGUUAAUUCUGCUUUUUUUUUUUUUAUUUUGCAGCUGCAACUGUUAGUUGGCUAUUGCUGUAAUUGAUGGACACUGGCAGUUGCUCAGACAGAUGGAAAUUAAUACUCGUGUUACCGUUAGAACUCGCUUUCACAGUCACGUUUUUAUUAGCCUCCCACACUGAAUUAAUGUGUGCACGAUGGUGCGUGUAGAAUCAUAGAGUCAUUAAGGUUGGAAAAGACCACUAAGAUUAUCGAGUCCAACAGUCAAGAAGAAGCAGCACAGAUCCCACCUGUAGACCAGCCAGGUGCUCGCUGUGUAUUGGUGGGCCACGGUAAAAGGUGGUGAGGCUGCGUCAAAUGGGAGGCAUCAGUCUGAUAUUCUGCUGGAUGCCAUGGGCUAGACCAACCCAGAGCUGAGCAAGCAGCUCAGGCUGUCUUUGGAAGAGUGGAUUUGGAAGAGUGUGCUGAGUGACACUCCACAUGAAAUGGGUUCAGAUUGGAGUCAUUUUACUUUUCUACAAGUGUUGUUAAAGCUGAGGCAUGUGCAAAGUCUGAAAAUGUAAAGCAGUAAUGUGGGUUUUACUGUUGGAGACAAAACUUCACUCUGUUGUGCAUGAAAGGGGAAAGAUGAUGGAACAAGACUGAAUUGUCAUGCCUGUCUACACUGAAAAUUUUUACAGGAAAACAAAUGCUUUCCAGCACCACGGUUAACAGAGUAUGGUCCUAUAUGCCUUGUAGCUGGGUUGUACGAACUCUGAAUAAAGUUUCACUGAAUGGCGAUAUGUAAGGUGCGUUUGUGUACAGGCUGUUCCUGUGCAGUUUUCUUCCCUAAGGGAAACGCUUCAUCUGUAUUUCACCUGGCCUUAUGUUGCAUGGUAGUUUUUUUCAGGAAACCAUCUGAUUUUAAUUCCUGCUCUCAGUUUCUAUUUAGCAAUGUCUCUUUUGAGUUACUUGAAGAAGCAUGAUACUGAACUCUUCUGAGGCCACAGAAUUUCAGUAUUUUCAAAUAUUCUGAUUUUCCUUCUUCAGGUAAGAUGGCUUACUCACUGUAAGAUUCUGGAAAGUGUGACCUGGAUGAGAGUUUGCAGCUGCAGAUCUUGCCAGAGCUUAGAAGAGAGAAAUGGUUGCAUUCUAAGAGAAUGGAACCAUCCAUCCAGUAAAGAGCUGAUGCCUUAUUUGCUAGUGUAAUGAAUGCAAGAACAGGCCCUGCACUUUUCUGGAACUGGAGAAAAAGGUACAGUCACUUGCUGCGGCCUUGAGUGUCCUUUGACAGAGCUCUGCAGGUACUUACCGCCUUUUCCCUCCAGAGGCUGAGAAUCCGACCUUCUGCCUUGAAAUCUUUUUUAAAGAGAAGCCAGUCUGCAGUGAGGUUUUCCUAUGCAUCUGCCAUUUGUCAGGCUCAUAAAAGAACUCUUGAGCUGUGGGAGCUUUGUAUUAGAAGGGUUCAUUAACUUUCAAAUGUUUCAAUUGAGAAAUUUCAGAGCUCUCAGCAAUCGACCAAGGUGGCUGGCUCAGCCAAGAGUGUCCCCUGACAGUCAGGUACAGAUGUGAUUGCUAGUCAGAGAGCUGUAAGAAACAUAAUAGUGUCCCAGAAAGUGUCAUACUUGAGCUGGAGAGGCUUAAACCAAAUAGCCCAGAGAGACCAUAAAUAAUUUUUGUUAUUCUUUAAGGGACAGGAAGACAGAGGAGCCCUUAGCCUGUAGUAUGCCAGGAAUUCAGUCUGCAAGGCUGUAGUGCAGUUGGGUCCCAUGCUGGUGUGACUCAUGUUCAUAAGCUGACCUGGAAAACAUGACAGGAAAAAUGAAAACACAGCUGUGGAGAGAGAAGGGACUCCACUGGCCUAAUCUGAAGCAGGUGACAAACUGUUCCUAAGUGCCUGAUGUCAGGAAAGGUUGAGAUGGUACAGACAGGCUUUUUGUCUGAGUUAGGUCUCUGUUACUGUGGUAUCUGAGCAGAGGGAUAGACUGAAAAUGAAGGGCAAUGAAACAGUUCUUUUGUCUGGGAGAUGUGAUGCUAUCCAGUUAAUGCAUUAGGAAAAGACUGAGUAAACUUUGCCUAAAUAUUUUUUUUCUGCUUUAUCUUCACAUGCUAGAUGCUACUCUACGUAAUACUUCAUACAAGUGAGAUGAAGCUUGGGAUUUCAGCCCUGCCAUGUUACCUUGGUUCCCAUAAGAUCUCCUGGAGGCCUUAGCUGAAAUGCAGUUAUUAAUGCCAUACCUUCCUGUGGUCUGACUGUUCAGUGUCCAGCAGUGUAACUGCAGCAGUCCUGGAACAACAUUGGUGCUUUAGCAGCAGUCUCUUGAGAAUCCAUUUCUGUCAACUGAAGAGAAUUGUUUGGAGUAGGAUGACUACAGAUGCUCUUUACCUCAGAUUAAAAACAUUGAAGCCAUGAGUUGUGGCCACAGCCCUCAGUGGACUCUACACAGAGUUUUCCAGGGGUUAAGUGCUGAAAAAUGUCAUCAACACCAUGACGCAGAGUUAUGACUGCCUAUUUGGGGUUUCCUCUUAUUCACAUAAUGGAACACAUCUUCACAUAUUCAGUCAGCCACAGUUAUUCUGCCUGGCUACACAGACUGAAGCUAAGAUGCACACUGAACAUUUCUGUCACUUUUGCUGUUCUGGCCACUAUGCUUAAUCAAAGAGCUGGAAGGAAAACUCUCAUUAGAGAAAAAUUCUUUUAGCUUUAUGAAAGCCUACACUGGGCUAAUAGAGGCUUUUGAGAGCUCUCCCUUCUGGUCAGGGUUGGCUUGAUCAAGGCCUGAGGCAGAACGAAGAGAGAGCAGAGCAGGCUCCGAUGUCUGAGUACACAUUAUGGCCAUAGUCGAACAGGAUUUUAUUCAUAGGGCUGCUGCUCAGAAACUGGAGAACAACCCUGCCACAGCAGUGAGCUGCUGGUAAUAUAUACUGCGACCCAAGAGAUUUUUGUGAACUUCUAGGUGAAAAUGAGAAUCUGUUCGUGGUUACUGCUCAAGCAAAGGAGACUUAUGUUGAGGAUCCAGGUGAAGUAGGUUUCUAUUACAUAGGCCAGGAAAAAAACAAUGCAAAAUGUGGGUAAGAUAAGCCUGCUUUGGAGAUGGUGGUGGUGGCUGCAUAUAGGUAGGGGUGACUUGUGCAUGCUUCUGGGCAGCGUAGAUGCGUAAAGGAGAAGAACUGAGGGCACUGUGUGCAUUUGAGUAGUUCCAGUGCAUGUUGCUAAGCUGGGCUAAAAGGGAAUGGCAGUAGGCAUCUAUUGGUAGUUGAAAAACAUCACUCAUGGUGCACAGAUGCUGAGGGGUUGCUCCAAGUGGAGUGGUGUCCAGAAGAGGGAGCAGCAUCUUUGUGGUCAUAGUGACAGGAUCCCUUUUCCUGGAAGGAAGAAUGCCAGCUGUAAAGCACCUAGAACUUAAGAAGUUUCCAUGAGAAGGGGUGCAAUGAAUGCAAACCUCUAGGCGAGUGAAGUGAAAAUGGAAUCCAGAUCCAAAUUGAGAUGGAAUUAAUGAAACACGUGGAGAAUCACUGAAAUGUACUUCGAAUUCCUUCCAAAUUACCCUGUAGCACUUCUGGUUGACAAGGAUUUGUCAGACCUGUCUCAGUAGGUCUGUCCCAUCAGGAAUCAGGGCAGAGAUGAAGGGACAGAUGGAGGAAAGGAGAGAGAGUAUAUGAUCUUGCUCAGGGGACAUGUUAAAUUUGAGGGUUUUUUUUGUUAAUAGCUUCACAGUGUAUUAGUGUCUGACCUUGCAGAGAGGAUUUUUAAGUACCUUCCCGUUCUCCCUUUGCUUUGCUUUCUGCUUUUUAUCUUCUUAGAGUAAUAAAGAUGCUCAACUCCAGAGAGCUCCUACAGGAAUUGAAUGCUUAAACACACAGCCUUGCUCUGUAAGGGGAGAUGGAGGAAGGAGUGUGAAUAGGAAGUGGGAGGAGAUCUGUCAAAAACAGUUCUAGGACUGAUCAAAGCAGGAAGGAAGGAGGGGAUAGUCUCCUCCUGAAUAUGAUUAUGUCAUUUCAGUAGACCCUUUACUGCAACAGAGCUAUGCAUCGGUGCUGAGAGCAGUGUACAUUAAGAAUUAGCUUCUGCUUGGAGGUUUUAAUGUUCUGCAGAAAAAAAGAAUUGAUCUCUUCUCCUUCAACAAGGCUAAGGAGGGUGACAGACCCCCUCUGGUUAGGAGAGAGUGCUUUCCCUGCUUGGCAGCACAAGGCUGGGAGAAGGAAUAACACUGGAACUUGGAUUGCUGUACGCUUUCUAUGCAGCUACAAAUGCAGCAGUAAAAUGAAUAGUUCACUUCUGUUUAUCAUGUGGCAUCUGCUUUGGCUUAUACUUGUGUCUACUAUCAGUAGUUCUGUGUGAGAUGCCACCAAUCUGGGGAGCUGGGGCACCGCAGAAGAGGGUAAAUAGGAGAGUUAAAGAAAGCAAAUGACAAAAUAACCAACCAAAGGGGAAACACAUUUCUAAUUCUUCUAGGGUAAAAGCUGAAUCCUCACCACAUGACGGGCAAUUCAGUGUUCUUUGUGAGUACACAACUACAGCAAUGAUGUGGAGUAAUGAUUGCCUUACUAAAAUUUUGUCACAAUCUUCCCUUGCUGUGAUGAGUCUCAUGACUGUCUGAAAAUUAGGGAUUUUCUGUCAUAUACCUGCUUCAGUUCUUUUUAUAUAUCGAGGGGACAGAUGUUUUGAUGGCAGCGUGUCCUUAUACAAGCUGUCUGUAUUGAUAUAUACAGAUGACUUUGUGCUGGAGAUGGAAGGUGUGACUGAGCAGUGAACAGCAGCCAUUGAGAUCUCCUGGGAGCACAUCUCAGGUUUGCGCACAGAAGGGUCAUCUGUGGCACUGUGAGUUGUCUCUGGCCAGGUCCAGGACCAGAUAAUUCAUGAGGAGAGAGAAAAACACCAAGAAUCCCAGAAGUUCCUCAGAAAAGCAGAGUUGGUCAAAAAGGCAUUUGUGGAGCUUCAGGCGGAACACAUGAGCUCUCACCAGUGGAUCUGCACUAUGUUCCUGGCUGGCCUGCUGCCUUCUCCGAGUGCCUCAUGCACCAGGUAUCUUCUCAUCACUGGAUGCUGCUGUACAACUGUAUCUUUAGCAACCCUGUGCAUCCAUGAUCAAGUGUACGAUCAUGAGACAACAGAAGAGAUGAAGACUGUAAGUGUUACUGCUGGUUGAAGCCCUCGUCAUUGACCCUGCGAUUCACUGUGCUUGGAGCUCAGAAAGCCCAGAAGAAGAGACUGCCAUCACUAGUCCAUUACUGAGCCCAAUGCUUAUUUCGGAUGCUAAUAAAUGGAGACAAAGAUGAAAUGACGAUACUCAUUUCUACAGCAGCAUUUCAGCUAAAACAUGGUGCCUUUACCCAGGGACACAAACUGCUACACAUAAGGGCUGCAUGUCUGACUCCUCACCCACUAGCUGGCCCACUGCAGUGGCACUGGCAGCCCCUAGGACAAGUGCACUGCAAACAGAAAUCGUUCAAGUCCUUCAGCAGCUGCACCAUUUUCCUUCCUUCUUGUGGACUGGGCUAUCUGGGUGAGCUCCAUACUCUUAGAAAUAUUUCUUCCUCAUGGGAAGUCACAGAUGUGAUAAGUGGAGAUGCUGCUGUUCUCCAUAGGCAGUGAGAAGUGUCCUGGGGGAAACUCAGACCGUGUUUACCCUCUUUGCUGUAUUUCUCUUAAGCGUAUCUUAAUGGUUGGUGCUGGAAAAAGGAUUUGGUGCAGGUCUCUAUACCCUGAAUCCUUACAGAAUAGGGUGUUAUUUGGUCUACAGAGCUGCCCACAUGGGAUAUAUGCCCACAGGCAUAUUAUCACUGCCCAGGCACUCUCUGGAUCUCUUCACUGUGAGGCACCACAGUGCUGUGCAACUUUCCUCUUAGGAGCUCUCCUGAGAAACAUUUGAUAUUGAGUACAUGAUGCUGGUUUUUGGUUUUUAGCACCCUCCUUCCCCCUUUUCCCUUAUUUUAUUUGGAUUCAAUGAUCAUAAUGGGCCCCUUCCAACACUGGAUAUUCUAUUCUAUGAUUUUGAUCAAUGUAAUAUGUAUAAUGAGUUUGGGGGUUUGGUGAGUUUUUGUUAUACGUAUGCCCAGAGAUCUUGGUAUUAAAUGCAUUUUAUAAAUUAAUAAAUAAAUAUGCUCAUUUGUUGUAGAA